rnacentral:lncRNA from 1 species
UAACAUUAAGCAAAAAUCAACUGACUCCAAACGCCUCAAAACAAUCGCAACUUCAUAAGCCUUAGAUUUGAAAUUCGUUAAGCUUCAGUGACAUUCGAAGGGUUUUGAACAAAGAUUCAAGGAGAGAAAAGGCCGGAGACUAUCUGGUAUCAAUUUUGGAACGUUUGAACGAUUUUGGUUUUGGGUCAGAUUUUUAAAACCAAGAUUCGAGGGAAUAUGGUCGGGGAUUAGUGAUGAGGGAGAGGUGGGGGAGUUGUUUUGUAAAUUUUGGGGUGAAUGGAGGCGGCGCCGCCACUGGUGGUUUGGGAAUUUUAGGGCGGCAUCUGUAGGGUUCUUGGAGGGUAUGGGGGUGUGAGG